rnacentral:lncRNA from 1 species
ACAUCUGGAAAACUCCAAUGCACACAUGUGAGAGUAUGCCAGAGAGAGAGACCUAUCUGAAACCAGCUUGGGCAGCUGGAGAAGAAUGAGGGUGAGCAGACAUCUGGGCAAGCCGGAGUUUGGGAAAACUGCCAUCUUCGACCUUUCUGGAGCAGCAAGAUACUGGUAAUAUGGACUUUGGAGCUGGGCAGCCCUUUUGUGACCAUGAGGCAACAUUGAAGAUGCAAGCCACAUGCUAAGACAGAAGAAAAUAAAGACAGAACUAAGCUGGGGCAUGUAUGACAUUUCAAGCUCUCAGAUCAGCCCUUGAUGGCCACCAUCCAUAUUUAUUGACAUGAAAAGAAGUCCUCAUUUUGUCAAAGCCAAUGAUAUUCAGGACUGUUAUUAAUAACAAAAUACAAUUCUUCCCUCUACCC